rnacentral:rRNA from 1 species
GCAUAUCAAUAAGCGGAGGAAAAGAAACCAACAGGGAUUGCCCUAGUAACGGCGAGUGAAGCGGCAACAGCUCAAAUUUGAAAUCUGGCUCUUUCAGAGUCCGAGUUGUAAUUUGCAGAGGGCGCUUUGGCUUUGGCAGCGGUCCAAGUUCCUUGGAACAGGACGUCACAGAGGGUGAGAAUCCCGUACGUGGUCGCUAGCUAUUGCCGUGUAAAGCCCCUUCGACGAGUCGAGUUGUUUGGGAAUGCAGCUCUAAAUGGGAGGUAAAUUUCUUCUAAAGCUAAAUAUUGGCCAGAGACCGAUAGCGCACAAGUAGAGUGAUCGAAAGAUGAAAAGCACUUUGGAAAGAGAGUCAAACAGCACGUGAAAUUGUUGAAAGGGAAGCGCUUGCAGCCAGACUUGCUUGCAGUUGCUCAUCCGGGCUUUUGCCCGGUGCACUCUUCUGUAGGCAGGCCAGCAUCAGUUUGGGCGGUGGGAUAAAGGUCUCUGUCACGUACCUCUCUUCGGGGAGGCCUUAUAGGGGAGACGACAUACCACCAGCCUAGACUGAGGUCCGCGCAUCUGCUAGGAUGCUGGCGUAAUGGCUGUAAGCGGCCCGUCUUGAAACACGGACCAAGGAGUCUAACAUCUAUGCGAGUUUUUGGG